rnacentral:rRNA from 1 species
CACGCCCUAAACGAUGGAUACUUGGUGUUGGGGGGUUGCCCUCAGUGCCGGAGCUAACGCGUUAAGUAUCCCACCUGGGGACUACGGCCGCAAGGCUAAAACUCAAAGGAAUUGACGGGGGCCCGCACAAGCAGCGAGGUAUGUGGUUUAAUUCGACGCUACGCGAAGAACCUUACCUGGGCUUGACAUGCUUGAGAAAGAGCCAAGAAACUGGCUCCCUCCUGACCGCAAGGUCAGGACCCAUCCACAGGUGC